rnacentral:rRNA from 1 species
AUGAACGCUAGCUAUAGGCUUAACACAUGCAAGUCGAGGGGAAACGGCAUUAUGUGCUUGCACAUUUUGGACGUCGACCGGCGCACGGGUGAGUAUCGCGUAUCCAACCUGCCCUUUACUUGGGGAUACCCCGUUGAAAGACGGCCUAAUACCCGAUGUAAUUCAUUGACGGCAUCAGAUAUGAAUAAAAGAUUUAUCGGUAAAGGAUGGGGAUGCGUCUGAUUAGCUUGUUGGUGAGGUAACGGCUCACCAAGGCGACGAUCAGUAGGGGUUCUGAGAGGAAGGUCCCCCACAUUGGAACUGAGACACGGUCCAAACUCCUACGGGAGGCAGCAGUGAGGAAUAUUGGUCAAUGGGCGCAAGCCUGAACCAGCCAAGUAGCGUGCAGGAAGACGGCCCUAUGGGUUGUAAACUGCUUUUAUACGAGAAUAAUUUGAUGCACGUGUGCGUUAUUGCAUGUAUCGUAUGAAUAAGGACCGGCUAAUUCCGUG